GACGAACGCUGGCGGCGUGCUUAACACAUGCAAGUCGAACGGAAAGGCCCUGCUUUUGUGGGGUGCUCGAGUGGCGAACGGGUGAGUAACACGUGAGUAACCUGCCCUUGACUUUGGGAUAACUUCAGGAAACUGGGGCUAAUACCGGAUAGGAGCUCCUGCUGCAUGGUGGGGGUUGGAAAGUUUCGGCGGUCGGGGAUGGACUCGCGGCUUAUCAGCUUGUUGGUGGGGUAGUGGCUUACCAAGGCUUUGACGGGUAGCCGGCCUGAGAGGGUGACCGGCCACAUUGGGACUGAGAUACGGCCCAGACUCCUACGGGAGGCAGCAGUGGGGAAUAUUGCACAAUGGGCGGAAGCCUGAUGCAGCAACGCCGCGUGCGGGAUGACGGCCUUCGGGUUGUAAACCGCUUUCGCCUGUGACGAAGCGUGAGUGACGGUAAUGGGUAAAGAAGCACCGGCUAACUACGU
rnacentral:rRNA from 1 species